AAAGUACUCCCUUCGUCCGAAAAUACUUAUCGAGAAAACGGAUGUAUCUAGACGAUACAUUCAUUUUUAUCCAUUUCUGCGACAAGUAAUUCGGGACGGAGGGAGUAACUA
rnacentral:pre_miRNA from 1 species